rnacentral:rRNA from 1 species
AGUGAACGCUGGCGGUAGGCCUAACACAUGCAAGUCGAACGGCAGCACAGUAAGAGCUUGCUCUUACGGGUGGCGAGUGGCGGACGGGUGAGGAAUACAUCGGAAUCUACUUUUUCGUGGGGGAUAACGUAGGGAAACUUACGCUAAUACCGCAUACGACCUACGGGUGAAAGCAGGGGAUCUUCGGACCUUGCGCGAUUGAAUGAGCCGAUGUCGGAUUAGCUAGUUAGCGGGGUAAAGGCCCACCAAGGCGACGAUCCGUAGCUGGUCUGAGAGGAUGAUCAGCCACACUGGAACUGAGACACGGUCCAGACUCCUACGGGAGGCAGCAGUGGGGAAUAUUGAACAAUGGGCGCAAGCCUGAUCCAGCCAUACCGCGUGGGUGAAGAAGGCCUUCGGGUUGUAAAGCCCUUUUGUUGGGAAAGAAAAGCAGCAGGUUAAUACCCCGCUGUUCUGACGGUACCCAAAGAAUAAGCACCGGCUAACUUCGU